rnacentral:rRNA from 1 species
UACGAAGGGGGCUAGCGUUGCUCGGAAUUACUGGGCGUAAAGCGCACGUAGGCGGAUUGUUAAGUCGGGGGUGAAAUCCUGGAGCUCAACUCCAGAACUGCCUUCGAUACUGGCGAUCUCGAGUUCGGGAGAGGUGAGUGGAACUGCGAGUGUAGAGGUGAAAUUCGUAGAUAUUCGCGAGAACACCAGUGGCGAAGGCGGCUCACUGGCCCGAUACUGACGCUGAGGUGCGAAAGCGUGGGGAGCAAACAGG